rfam:Ricinus communis cultivar Hale ctg_1100012360848, whole genome shotgun sequence.
AGAAAAAUGAUGAGAUUCUAAUGGCUGAAAACUCCAUGUGGAACCUUCAUAUCCUUCAAAGUUCUCUGAUUUCU